GUAAUUUUUGUUGGAACUUCUUGUGUAAUCUCUUCUUUCAGUGAUGACCUCUUGGAUGGCUGCAUGAAGCUUGUUCUGCUUUAAAUUUCAUGGGUUGAAAUGAUGGUGAUCUUAAAGUUGAAAAGCAGCAGACAAAAAUCAAUUAGCCACAAUGGUGCAUGGUUUCCUAGUUUCUCAGCAUAAAGUUGAAUGUUUUGUUGACCUCUCUACAUUCAAAAUCAUAUAGACAGCUACUGCUGGCACUUGCAGUAGCCAAUGAGCCAAUGAACACUGUAGUGUAUAUAUUGCAGCGUGAGAUAAGGUUAUCUCAUUGCAUUUUCAUAAAUUAAAGGGAUUUCUCUUCUUUUCUUUGUCAA